rnacentral:rRNA from 1 species
CCUACGGGGUGCAGCAGUGGGGAAUAUUGCACAAUGGGCGCAAGCCUGAUGCAGCCAUGCCGCGUGUAUGAAGAAGGCCUUCGGGUUGUAAAGUACUUUCAGCGGGGAGGAAGGCGUUGUGGUUAAUAACCACAGCGAUUGACGUUACCCGCAGAAGAAGCACCGGCUAACUCCGUGCCAGCAGCCGCGGUAAUACGGAGGGUGCAAGCGUUAAUCGGAAUUACUGGGCGUAAAGCGCACGCAGGCGGUCUGUCAAGUCGGAUGUGAAAUCCCCGGGCUCAACCUGGGAACUGCAUUCGAAACUGGCAGGCUAGAGUCUUGUAGAGGGGGGUAGAAUUCCAGGUGUAGCGGUGAAAUGCGUAGAGAUCUGGAGGAAUACCGGUGGCGAAGGCGGCCCCCUGGACAAAGACUGACGCUCAGGUGCGAAAGCGUGGGGAGCAAACAGGAUUAGAUACCCCUGUAGUC